rnacentral:rRNA from 1 species
GACGAACGCUGGCGGCGUGCCUAACACAUGCAAGUCGAGCGGGGUUGAGGCGAGAGGUAACUCGAGCUUCUACCUAGCGGCGGACGGGUGAGUAACGCGUGGGCAACCUGCCUCAAGGUUUGGGAUAACAGCCCGAAAGGGCUGCUAAUACCGGAUAUGCCUAUGGCUUCGCAUGGGGCUAUGAGCAAAGGGGAAACCCGCCUUGAGAUGGGCCCGCGUCCCAUCAGCUAGUUGGUGAGGUAACAGCUCACCAAGGCGACGACGGGUAGCCGGCCUGAGAGGGUGACCGGCCACACUGGGACUGAGACACGGCCCAGACUCCUACGGGGGGCAGCAGUGGGGGAUCUUGCACAAUGGGCGAAAGCCUGAUGCAGCGACGCCGCGUGAGCGAAGAAGGCCUUCGGGUUGUAAAGCUCUGUCUGGAGGGACGAACAAAAUGACGGUACCUCCGGAGGAAGCCACGGCUAACUACGUG